AGCGGGAUGCCACACACCGUCCAUCCCAGGAAGAGAUUUCCGGUAAGCCUGUGAGCGGUAGGACAAAACGCCAACUGAUACGUGUGCCCUCAACUCGGGAGCCAUGGUACAGAGAGCACCUUCAGACUUAUAGAGAGCACCAUCACACACACAUACACACAUAUACUUGCAGUUGCAACAUAAUAUAAUUCUUAACAGACAAUUCACACAUGCACACACACACACACACACAAUAUUGACUUUAAAUAAAAUUCCAGUAAAGAAAUUUUGGUCUCAGUGUGUUUAUUUAAAAGUUUUCAGCACCGAAAGAUGUUCCAAGAGUUUCCAUCAAAUCAAAAAAGGGAUCGCACAGCCAAAGAUACAUCCAGAUGUUCAUAG